CAUACCUAAGUGGUGACUUUGGGCUUAAAAUUGUGUUAACAUUGUGAAUGUUGGUUUUGAAUGACUUUACUACCUGUGGAUCAUUAUCAAAGUGACUAAUCCUUCUUAAGAGUGGAGCAUAUGCGUCAAGUUUUACUCAACAACAAUCUGAGAAUACUGUGAAACUGGAGAAAUGCCUUAAGCUCAUACAGCAACUUACAUGCAUUCUAAGGAAGAAGGUAAAACAAAAGCUGAGCUACUGCAGCAUUAGCUGACCAGACAGCUCCUGACCAAGCCUCGGCUUCUAGCAGACAUUGAAUUAUCUCUCCUACUGAAGCAAUGUGAAUCAUAGCAAAGGACUCAUGGAGAAUGGAGAGCCAUGUAUCGUCAGCACAAUGAUAGCAUCUAGUUCAGCAUCUCACUUCUAAACUUCUCAGUGGUUUCCAUAACACUUUGAGUAGGAGGAAAGAAGAGGAGGCAAGGACUAGUCAUACAAUUAGGCAAAUGGCUGUCUACUAUUUACUACUUCCCUGCUACACGUUUUCCCACAAAUACAAGCUCAGUCUCUCCCUAUCUAUACUUGCUGAGGCUGUGGGCUAGUUUAGAAUAGAAUGUAAGCAGCAGAGCACUCAUCAGCUGAAGUCAGCUGAACAAUACACAACAUUGACACAGACAACUUGCUGUUAAUAUCAUCUAGUGAAACUCAUCAUUAGUAUCAUAAAAUAUUUUUAGUUCAAUGCCUGAAGCCACCUAAAAUGGGUGUUAAGAAAUUCAAAAGAAUUUAUUCUUAUGAAAGGUCCUAUCAUCCUUCUUUUCUAGAACCAGGAUAUUCAAGCCAGCUUGCAACAGUCAUAAAUUCUCACAAAUUGCUGACCCAACAGAGGGUUUUCAUCUAUGUGCACGCGGAUGUCACAAAUAGCCAUUAUGCUCACUGAAACAAAGCUACAGAAAAAUCUGAAAACUUACCCAAAGUAAGUCUACAGUAGUCUAGAGCAAGCUGAAUGCUUAUGGCAUCAAUACUAUUUUAGUGGUGUCUGCAUGCACAAAUAUUUUAGUACAGUGUUUUCAGGAUAGUCCCACAAUAAAGGGUAGAGUCAAUGUGAUAUAUAUAUAUAGUAUAUAGAUAUAAAUAGCCAUCCACUUGAAUCUACUGAUCAACUUUUCUCACUAACAAGAGAAACUGCUUUUUAAAAGACUGUACACAGCUAGCCCAGCUCCCCAGGUGACCUGAAAGGAAUAAAAUUCUUGUGAUAGGUAAAGCAAGAAGGCUAGGAUAAAGCUACAUUAAACUGGGAGUAAAUGAAUACAUGAAAUUUGUUCCUACUCUGACCAAUGUUAUUAAUUUCCAAAUGACAUAAAAUGAGAAGGAAAGAUGAUUCUGUGCAUAUCCUUUUCAUCUAUACCCUUCUCACGGUUCCACAUCUCAGAAAGAAGAGACUGUUGUAUCACAAGUUUACUUCAUUCGUGUUCUCUUACAGGAGAUGGAAAGGAAAAGAACUGAUGGUUUGCAGGAAUGCAAAAUAAGGGCACUGGCUACGGCAAUGUCCAGAGAACACGUGGCUUGCAGAAGCUGGAUGGCUUCAUUCUCCCUUGGAAUAACGACACCCAGGAUCUGCCCAGCUCCAGAGCCAUCACUAAGGAUGUGCUAUAUAUAACACAGGAUAUAAGGAUAUAUAUAUGUAUAUAACACAGAUAUAACAAAGGAUGUGUUAGAUACAUGUUUUAAGGGUCAGGCAACUAGGGCAAGUGUAAUUUUACCACUGCAUGUCCUCCAUGAACAGGUGUUUCUCAAAUCAGAGAACAACCCAAGUUGGAAGUAUGGUCCACAGGGACCACUGAGACAAACUCCUGUCUCCACUCAGGACCACCCUGAAGCCCUCAUUCAAACCUUAUGUCUGAGAGCAUUGUCCAAACACCCCUUCAGCUCCGGCAGCUUGGGGCCAUGAUCACUCCCCUGGGGAGCUUUUUCCAUGCCCGUAGUCCUCUGGAGAAGAACCUUUUUCCAGUGCAGCUCCAUGAACUCAUCUGAGUCCGUUGUACAGCCCAAUUAUUCAGGCCUCUGGUUGGGUAGCAGAAUUAUGUUUGGCCAAUGAGGCUGCCAAAUACUUCAAAAAACAACUGGCUACUAGGCAUUAUGUUGGUCCUGGUGUCACACAGAUGGCACUUCUUGGUUAGUUUCAGGGAAAAAGUGUCAGAGCAGGGAUCUGAGAAGACUUGAAGUACAAUUUUACCUUAGUCCUACAGAUACAGGGUACUGCCAAAGGUGUGAAAUUCUUAAAUAGAAAUAUCAAGAAUAUUACAAAGAAUAAUCUACAGGUGUGAUAGUAUAAUUUAAAAGAUCCCACUGAACCCUGGCUUUCAGCUAUUACUCUGACAUGUACAUAUAAAGACUCUCAAUUUCCCCCAGUUUUUUCACCACUCAUAAUUUUCUAUACAUUACACAAUAAUUCCCAUUUAUACACUAAUUCUCUUUCUCCUUUCAUCUGUUAACCGUCAGGUUCCCAAAUGCCUACAGUACAUGUGUUGCCUCUGCCUUCAGUGUUUUUCCAUCCUCUUCCACUCCUUCAUUGCUCAUCUUCAUUCUCAAACAAAUCCAGGACAGGUAGCUGUGUGCAGCACUCAGAUUAGCUAGCCUAAGCACAGGAAUCCCUAAAAGAUAACCAUGCUUCCGCAUGUGCAUCUGUUUCAGUAGUUGUUCUUACAUGUCUCUGAAUGUAUUUAACAUAAUUAUAUGUGUUAUUGCACCAGGAUUCAUCAUUAUAGAACAGUCAAAAAAGUCUAUCCCACAGAGUGUGGAGAGGGGAUUUUGAGGAAUGCAUUGUAAUACUACCAGUACAUCAUCUGUUUUGCUCUAUUUCCCAUAGUAUGUUAUUUAAUUUAGCCUUGAUAAAGUACUGGGAGGCUUUAAACCAUGCUCUUAGUCAUGAAAAUGUUCACAAAGCAGAAAACAGAAAAUGUUUUCUGCAUGGAACAAAGGGAACAAAAGGCAAGAAUUAUACCUAAAAGUACCAGGCUACAGUGUGAACAGAUUUUAUUGGACAUUUGUAUAAAAUGUCAGAGCACUUCAUUCUGGAGUAAUUCUGUCCUUAUUGCUCAUUUUUCUUCCCCCUUCUACUUCAGAGCUUCUUUUUCAGUACUUUUUUUUUUUUUUUUUUUUUUUUUUUUUUUUUACUUUUGAAAUCUCUACUUCUUAAAGACCACUUUUGCAUCCGUGUUUUUUUUCUUUUCUUUUUUUCCCCAUGGUUUUAAAUCUACAUGUUCAGAAGUAAAUCCUGUGGCUCCUCCUGUUUCCCAGCUGUUUAGUGCUUCUCAUGCUACCUCCCUCUUGCCUGCUUAAAGAAAACACAGGGGGGAUGCUUAGGAACUGAGAAAAGGAAAAUAGUGAAUGGUUUAAAACACUGAGGAUCACAAUAGCCAGAAAAGUUGUGAGACAGAGGACAGAAUAGUUGAAGUUGAGGCAGCUUAUUUUUAGUCCUUCUUUUCCCAGCAGCUUGUUUGCUUCCUAUAACUGAGUCUGGAUUGCAGUAACAUCUCUACAAAGUAUUUCAGAACAGCCUAAUGUCCUAACAAGGAGUAUGUCCAGUUUUCCAUUUUCAAGAAGUUCAGGCACCCUGCAAGCAAAACUUGGCUCUGUAAAAAUCUCAGAAGCGGGCAAUUUUAACUAGCCUGAGAGAGAGGAGGUGAAUCCCGCAUAGCUGGGAAACAGAAGAUAUGAAGACACACAUGCUCACAGGUGGUCCAUGUGCUCAUGGAUUUCAUGAGGAGCAUCCCACUGGUUUCAGCAGGAGACAGAUUCCAACCCCUCGGCACAGUAAAACCACACAUUUCUUCCAUCAGUGGCAUGGAGCACUGGCAGGGACACAAACCCAGUUCCUGAGGUCAGUACAUCUGCUCUGUUAAGCUGAACAAAGCCAUUGGAAAAAGUCUUGUAUUUGUUCUCCCAUACAAUUAUCUUUCUUCUACCCAGUAAGGUAUAACAUGACUUCCCUUAUUGCUUCAUUUACUUCAGAUUCUGAGAAGACAACACUUGCUCAGCUUUGCAAAAGCCAUCUGGGAUCUUCAGAUAUAAGGACUGAAAUGUUACCUGUUUCAACCUGCAGGAAUAUUGCCACCAGGUUUGGGAAGGCCUGGAUUUCACCUAAAGCACUGCAAACAACAUGUUUACAUCUGCAUCUUAUUGAUCGCUUUUUGUUGGCCUGUUUGAAAAAAGUAACAGGAGAAUGGGGGGGGGAACCACACACACACAAAAAAAAAAAAAAAAAAGAAAGAAAAAGAGAAAAAAUAAAUGAAUUGCAGGGUGGAAGGAGUGGGAAAAGAGCUCGGUUGUGAGGGAGCCACAGCAAUACUACUAAAACAACUACUUUGUUUUAUAUUGGGUCUACUUCCAUGGCAUCUAACACCACAUGUAAAUGCUAAUACUCCCUGAAUGUUAUCACUUCAUGAAGGUUCAACAGCAAAGUGAUCUAAAAGACAGUGCUGUAAUGAAAUGCCAUGAGGUUAGGAACUGUCAGCACUCCAUCGCAAACCACCACAACACGCAAUGAACUGGGAAAUGAGCAAACUUUCUCCAAUAUAUACUAAGGUAGAAAGAAUAAAAGAUAUAUAAAUGAAUAUUCUGUUAUCUGCAGACAUCACUGUGGUGUUACAACACCAGACAAGAACACAGUGCGUCAGAAAUGACAAAUAAGGGAUCCCACUUUUCUGAUCCUUUUAUUGGGAAGAUGUAGUGAUUUCUGAAUCUCCACCCAGAUAAGGAAACUUCAGUCUAAAAAUUUUCUGUUCUAUGAAAUACUCAUAGUUAAAGGCACUUCCACCUUUAAAAAUACUGAAUUAAAUGCUUGCUCUGCAAAAUGCACCUACACUGUAUGCAAGGAUGUUGACCUCUCGCCAUCGCUUCCUAUGAGUUCACACAACGCAGCGGUGACACGGGGCCAUGGGGAAGCCCCCGCACUCUGCACGCACGUGUCACCUCCCGCACUCCUCCACCCCUGCACGGAGCAUCCCACACAGCUCCCGGCCUGGGCUGCUGGCGGGGCAGUCGCAGCUCAUGGUGGCAGCAGGAAGCGGCACAUCU
ensembl:lncRNA